UACGUAGGGGGCAAGCGUUGUCCGGAUUUAUUGGGCGUAAAGAGCGUGUAGGCGGCUUUGCAAGUCCGUUGUGAAAACUCGAGCUCAACCUCGAGACGCCGGUGGAAACCAUCUAGCUAGAGUCCGGAAGAGGAGAGUGGAAUUCCUGGUGUAGCGGUGAAAUGCGCAGAUAUCAGGAAGAACACCCGUGGCUAAGGCGGCUCUCUAGUACGGUACUGACGCUGAGACGCGAAAGCGUGGGGAGCGAACAGG
rnacentral:rRNA from 1 species